rnacentral:sRNA from 1 species
UGUAUUCGUUCAGAUUUUUUUUCACCAAUUCUGUUAAAUUACAUUUUAAGGAAAUUUUGUCAAAAUUUAUUCAAAACCAUCGAACGUGUUGUGAAUACCACGAUAAAGAGUAGGACAUCAAGCGAACUAAUGUAAUGUGGUUUUGUCGAAAGCUGAGACCCAUCCCAUAAAAUUUGUGAAAGUUUCGAAAAAAUCGAUUGAGCUGUAUUCGAGCCUUUAUAUAUGGAACAAACAAGCACACUUUCAAUAAGACUUCGAACCCUGACUGCUAUAAAUAUGUGCUACUUCUAAGGAACUCAUAUAAAGAUUGUGUCUCAUAUUAAGAAUGGACUUCUGCCGCCAACUAUUAAGUAUUGUCCCCCUUUGAGCCUUACGUUCCAUGCAUGUUCGUUUGAUUAUCGUUACAUUACACUUGUAACUUUAAACAAAAGGUUUCCCUCAUACAUAUUGGGGGAAAAAACACUACAUCAAAUUUUACUCCCUGACUGGCUGGUGAGCUCUAUCUCUUAAAGAUGGAUACUAACCGUUAAAGAAGGCUUGUGGUCUGUCAGUCUGUCCAAGCCUUCUUAAGGUUAUACGCAGUUUUGAUGUCGUAAGCUUCACCUGGACCACUGUGGAAUGACAGUGCUUUCUUAGGAAUCUCACACUGGUGCAGAGAAAAUUAGGUGUUUAUGAUCAAGCCGAUAGCUAAUUAAUGUAUUUCUCUUCAGUUAAAUCUUAAGUUUAGUUUUAAGUUAAGUUUUUAGUUUAGUGUUUUGUUUGAUGUUUCUAUUUUUAA